UGGGGAAUUUUGGACAAUGGGGGAAACCCUGAUCCAGCCAUCCCGCGUGUGCGAUCAAGGCCUUCGGGUUGUAAAGCACUUUUGGCAGGAAAGAAACGUCAUGGGUUAAUACCCCGUGAAACUGACGGUACCUGCAGAAUAAGCACCGGCUAACUACGUGCCAGCAGCCGCGGUAAUACGUAGGGUGCAAGCGUUAAUCGGAAUUACUGGGCGUAAAGCGUGCGCAGGCGGUUCGGAAAGAAAGAUGUGAAAUCCCAGAGCUCAACUUUGGAACUGCAUUUUUAACUACCGGGCUAGAGUGUGUCAGAGGGAGGUGGAAUUCCGCGUGUAGCAGUGAAAUGCGUAGAUAUGCGGAGGAACACCGAUGGCGAAGGCAGCCUCCUGGGAUAACACUGACGCUCAUGCACGAAAGCGUGGGGAGCAAACAGG
rnacentral:rRNA from 1 species